rnacentral:rRNA from 1 species
AGUAACGGCGAGUGAAGCGGCAACAGCUCAAAUUUGAAAUCUGGCCCCCAGGGCCCGAGUUGUAAUUUGCAGAGGAUGCUUUUGGCGCGGUGCCUUCCGAGUUCCCUGGAACGGGACGCCAUAGAGGGUGAGAGCCCCGUCUGGUCGGACGCCUAGCCUGUGUAAAGCUCCUUCGACGAGUCGAGUAGUUUGGGAAUGCUGCUCUAAAUGGGAGGUAUAUGUCUUCUAAAGCUAAAUACCGGCCAGAGACCGAUAGCGCACAAGUAGAGUGAUCGAAAGAUGAAAAGCACUUUGAAAAGAGGGUUAAAUAGUACGUGAAAUUGUUGAAAGGGAAGCGCUUGUGACCAGACUUGGGCCCGGUGGAUCAUCCAGCGUUCUCGCUGGUGCACUCCGCCGGGUUCAGGCCAGCAUCAGUUCGCCGCGGGGGAAAAAGGCUUCGGGAACGUGGCUCCUACGGGAGUGUUAUAGCCCGUUGCAUAAUACCCUGGGGCGGACUGAGGUUCGCGCUCCGCAAGGAUGCUGGCGUAAUGGUCAUCAGCGACCCGUCUUGAAACACGGACCAAGGAGUCGUCUUCGUAUGCGAGUGUUCGGGUGUAAAACCCCUACGCGUAAUGAAAGUGAACGCAGGUGAGAGCUUCGGCGCAUCAUCGACCGAUCCUGAUGUUCUCGGAUGGAUUUGAGUAAGAGCAUACGGGGCCGGACCCGAAAGAAGGUGAACUAUGCCUGUAUAGGGUGAAGCCAGAGGAAACUCUGGUGGAGGCUCGCAGC